GUCUCCCACCUCUCAACUUCCCCUUUUUCUCACUGCUGGUUAGAGACUCCAUUGUCAGCCCCCAAUUUCACUCGCCCUGCCGCCGCCGUCCCCCUGGCUUGGCUUGUACUGCUUUAUACCGCUUAGCUCGUCCGCCCCUGGCCCCCGGCUCCCUCGCGCGGCCGCCGGCCCGAGCUUUGGGCGCGCGGCCCCGCUCCCCGGCUCCGUCGCGCGCUCCUGCCCCGGGUCCCUCGCGUGGCCGCCCGGCGCAGAUUCGCUCGCCUGGCCCCGCCCCCCGCUCCCUCGCGCGCCCCUGCCACCGGCUGCCUCGCGCGGCCCCUGCCCCAUCUUCGCUCGCGCAUCCCCGCCACACGGCUCCGUCGCACGGCCGCCAGCCGCCGGCUCCCUCGCGACGGACCGGCCUCCCCUGCGCCUGCAGGGAUGAGCCAGGGUUCACCGCUGGCGCGGUGCCGUUGAAGAUCCCAGGGUUCCGAAAGGAUUCGAGGGAGCGCGGGUGGUGUUGUUUGGCCUCAAUUCAUAGUGGUGAUGUUGGAUUGAUGCCGCUCGGGAAGAUUGAUCAGCGUGGAGAAUAAUAGUGGAAACCUACUUUCUGGUCGUCGGCGCGACUGAGGCGGUCAAUGGCGUCAUCGCGCUAGGCAAGCUGAGAGCGCAUCCCGUGGCCUCAGUCUCCAGCCACCCGAUGUGGGAUGCACAAUGUGGGAAGCUAGUGCGUUGGAGGUGAUCUUCCGCGCCACGUCAAGCUGCUCAAACCGGUCCACCGGAAGCAUCGCCGCCAGCUUUUAUGAAGGUUAAUACUUCGCCGAGACGUGCCAGAAGUUUGUCGUCGGGACUGCCUCCUAAUUCCUGCCGUCCCAGCGCACCGGCGCCGCCUUGGACCGCUUCGAGCUCGACAACGACGACGGAGGGACUGUGGUUCUUCCGCCCGGGCCUCCUCGACCUUGAUACCCGUGGCGGAGGGAUUAUGGUGCUGCCGCCCUGGACCUCCUCGACCUUCAUACCCGCGGCGGAGGGAUUGUGCUGCUACCGCCAAAGGGUUCUCCAACAACCAGGAUCGCCGAGGCGGGUUCAGAGUGUUGAUCUCUGGUGCAUACUUGGACUACCUCCUCGUGGAGAUGUUAUAGGUCAGUUUGUCGGUGCUUAACUGACACAUGUUCUCAUGAGCACCAAUACAUCUGAAAAGUAGGUCAUUGCUCUGAGAGAUCACAGGAACAUUGAGCUUAAACUUGUGCUUUCGGGACAAAGGGUUGCUGAAUUCGAUGCUAAACUUGUGCAUGAUGAUGGGAUGACGUAAAGGCAUUUUAUGAGGUGGACUGAACUACUUUGAGAUAUAUUGAUAACACUUCACACACAGAAUGAAAGGAGUGGCAGGCAGAUUUAAAUAAAACAAUGUUUGAUGCUGAAUUUACUAAUGAACAGCUAUUGAAAAAACGUGAUGACAGAAUUUGUGAAGCUGAUUGGAAGGACCUUAUUAAAUAUUGGAGAUCUCCUCAAUUUGAAGCGCACGGGUAUAUUAUUCUUGAGCAGCUGGAGGAGUUGAUGGUCAGACAAGUAGGUGGAUUCUCGGAUCAGUCCACCAAUUUACAAAGUUAAAAUCUUGGGUCAAGGGAAUAGCUGUUGAGAAAAGGCCAACCAGCUAAGGUGGAAUCAAAGGUUAUUGGCUAUUAUGGAAGGAAUAUUCAAUAGAGAAAAUUCAUCCAUAGAGCACAUAACUUGGCAAAAUGAAAUUCUGGACCAGCAUCACAUGAAAUUGUGAAGGCAUUACUGGACACACAAUGUAGAGUAACUCAAGUGAGCAACAAAGCUGGCAGGUCCGACUUUUGAUGUCCCUUGAAAACUUGUUUGAAGAAUGGGCAGGUUAAAAUCUGGAUAGAUGAGAUCUCUCCCCGGCGGAGCUUGAGGGUACCUUUUAUAUGUCUGCUUCCUUAUCGCAAUUUUGGUAGAAGUUUUAAUUACCAUUACAAUAGCAGGAUGCUGGGUAUCUCCGGAUACCAUUUUUAUGUGUGCACAAUUAUCGUAAAUUAAGUAAUUACAUAAUCACCGAAUCCAUAGCGUGAUUUAUGGGUCGAGUUGAUUUCAACAUCCAGAGAUCCUAUAGCCAAUCUCCUGACUUACUCAUUGAUUUGAUCCACGUAACUUUUGGGUUUAUUAAAUGAGAGCAUCUUGAGAUACUAUUUGGAUCGAGUUGAAUUAUUCAGUGAUUUGAUCCACGUAAUUUUUGGGUUUAUUAAAUGAGAGCAUCCGGAGAUACUAUUUGGGUCGAGUUGACUUACGCAUUGAUUUGAUCCACAUAAAUUUUGGGUUUAUUAAAUGAGAUGCUUUAUUACAAAUAUUUUAUUUUAUUUAAAUUUGUCUAUUAUUGUAUGCCGGUUUUUGCUUAGUAUAAAAUGUUGAAGGUUAUUUUUGCCUCUUUGUCUUACUCCACGUAUUGGCUAUUUUUGCCUUGGAAGCUCUACCAGUUUUGCUCACAUGUGUUUCGUAGAAGGUUAAAUUUUAUUGAUGCAUGUUUUCCUUUCAUAAUGUGUCAUAGGGAUAAAAAAGAUUAUAAGCCAAAUCCCCUACUUGACAAGAAUUACAAAGUAUUUCGUUCUAACAAUAAUCCAUGACCACAUAUGAGUCUUUGUUGUUUAUGAGAAUAGGAACCCAUCUCAUGUACUCAUUGCCUUCCGAGACGUAGGGUUUUAUAGAAACCCAUUUUCAUAUAGGAACAACUAAUUAUAACUAAUUGGUAAAAAAGAUGUCCGCUGCCACACCAAGGCCAGAGCACCCAUGUAGCGACGCAUCUUGUCACGUGGACCACCGAUAAAUGUUCCCGGCAACAUUGUACGCUUUCCAAUAGCAUCAGCACUACCCUGAACAUCCGUUGAGCUCACCUAUGAACAUGUGGUAGUCAUAGAGUUAAAAAAUAGUAAAGGUAGUCAUCUAGAUGAUGAUUGCCUUGACAUGCAUUAACAUCAUAAAUUGAACGGUAUCAUAGAGUUUAAAAAAGAGCAUAAGCAAGAUGAUGAAUUGCCUUACCUGAGCGCUGUCUCCUGAUUCACUCUCUUUCUUAUCAUUUUCCACAAUCUCUCCCAUCUGAAUAUCAAUUAAACACAUAUGUGAAAGGUAGUCAUGGAGUUAAAAAAUAAUAAGAUAGUUAGGAACAUGAUGAAUUAGUUUGUGCAUAGUUUAAUUUAUACUGCUGUAUUUCUUCUCUAAUUCGUAAGUUUACCCCUAGUCGCAAACUUUGACGAUGUGGAGAUGUGCCAUGUUAUCAAGGCGGUCGCGGCCGGGCGUGCAUCCGGCACUCGGCUUCAAGGAGCCCAAAGAUGGGGCAGUUGUUAGGAUUCUAGACAGCCUGACCUUCAACAAUGUGGACUUGACCAACGACGUGCAACCUAGGAUGAGCCAGAUGUUCAAUGUCUCGAACACGGUGGGCAUCAGGCAGUUCCAGAGGAUGGCCUUCGACAGCCAGGAUUACAGCUCUGGGUAUACCCACUCCAAAAUUAAUGUUGGUCUGAUUCUAUGCAUGAGGUUACUUCUGCUAUAGUUAAUUUUAAAUAAGCAUUGGCUGUCGUGUGGACAACUCCUGAGAUCAAGGCAAGAGCGACCAAAGAUUGCUAGAAGACUUGUGGAUUUAAGUCUAGCACCCAAGGGUUGUUUCCAUGUCCUCACUCACUAUACUCGUCCCAGCGAUGCCCAGCUAGACAUAGCCAUCGAUUGAUGUUUGUGCUCGGCUCAGCGGUCCGCAAACGGUCUAGGUGCCCGCAACUUGAGGUAGCUGUGUGAGUCAGCCGCGUAUGGCUCAGGAUCAGUGAUACGUCUCCGACGUAUCGAUAAUUUCUUAUGUUCCAUGCCACAUUAUUGAUGAUAUCUACAUGUUUUUUUCACACUUUAUGUCAUUAUUAUGCGUUUCCGGAACUAACCUAUUGAC